AUUCCAUAGCGGCCCGUACCAAAACCGACACAGGUGGGCAAGGAGAGAAUCCUGAGGUGAGCGAGAGAACUGUUGCCAAGGAACUCGGCAAAAUGACUCCGUAAGUUAGCGAUAAGGAGUGCUCUUGUAAAAGAGAGCCGCAGUGAAGAGGCCCAAGCGACUGUUUAACUAAAACACAGCUCUCUGCAAAGUCGCAAGACGAAGUAUAGGGGGUGACGCCUGCCCGGUGCUGGAAGGUUAAGAGGAUUUGUCAUCCGCAAGGAGAAGCAAUGAAUUGAAGCCCCAGUGAACGGCGGCCGUAACUAUAACGGUCCUAAGGUAGCGAAAUUCCUUGUCAGGUAAGUUCUGACCCGCACGAAAGGCGUAACGAUUUGGGCGCUGUCUCGGCAGCAGACUCGGUGAAAUCUUAGUACCUGUGAAAAUGCAGGUUACCCGCAACUAGACGGAAAGACCCCAUGGAGCUUUACUGUAGCCUGAUAUUGAAUUUUGAUCAAAGAUGUACAGGAUAGGUGGGAGGCUGUGAGACGUGUACGCCAGUAUACGAGGAGCCGCUGUUGGGAUACCACUCUUGUUUGAUUGAAGUUCUAACCUGCAUCCAUGAACUGGGUGAGGGACCGUGUCAGGUGGGCAGUUUGACUGGGGCGGUCGCCUCCUAAAGAGUAACGGAGGCGCCCAAAGGUACGCUCAGAUUGGAUGGAAAUCAAUCGACGAGUGCAAAUGCAGAAGCGUGCUUGACUGUGAGACAAACAAGUCGAACAGGGACGAAAGUCGGGAUUAGUGAUCCGGCGGUGCCGAAUGGAAGGGCCGUCGCUCAACGGAUAAAAGCUACCCUGGGGAUAACAGGCUGAUCUCGCCCAAGAGUUCACAUCGACGGCGAGGUUUGGCACCUCGAUGUCGGCUCAUCGCAUCCUGGAGCUGAAUUCGGUUCCAAGGGUUGGGCUGUCCGCCCAUUAAAGCGGUACGCGAGCUGGGUUCAGAACGUCGUGAGACAGUUCGGUCCCUAUCUGUUGUGGGCGUUGGAGAUCUGAGGAGAGCUGUCCUUAGUACGAGAGGACCGGGAUGGACCUACCGCUGGUGCACCAGUUGUUCCGCCAGGAGCAUAGCUGGGUAGCUAAGUAGGGAAGGGAUAAGCGCUGAAAGCAUCUAAGCGCGAAGCCUACUCCAAGAUGAGAUCUCCCAUUCGUAAAACGAAGUAAGACCCCUUGAAGACGACGAGGUGGAUAGGUCAGAGAUGGAAGUGUAGCGAUACAUGGAGUUGACUGAUACUAAUAGGUCGAGGACUUAAUCAC
rnacentral:rRNA from 1 species